AUGGCCCUCUCAUCAGUUUUCAGGAGAGUAAACAUCAAAGAAUUGAUCUCAAAUGUUCCGGUCUACACUAGCUCAACAGAGACAUCUGGAGGAAUGAGCUUGGUCUUUAGGCGUUGGGCCACAAAAAAGACUGCUGGGUCAACGAAAAAUGGCCGUGACUCUAACCCCAAGUAUCUGGGUGUUAAGAAAUUUGGUGGAGAGAAAGUGGAACCAGGAAACAUCAUCGUACGACAAAGAGGAACCCGCUUCCAUCCUGGGAACUAUGUUGGCAUGGGGAAGGAUCACACUAUCUUCUCUCUGAAGGAAGGCCAUGUGCGGUUUGAGCGGAAUAAGCUGACUGGCAGGAAAUGGAUUCAUGUUGAACCUGUAGCUGGGCACACUCUCCACCCUGUUUACGCCAACGGUUCAGCCACUGCAGCUGACAUGGAGCUACUGUAG
rnacentral:rRNA from 1 species